rnacentral:rRNA from 1 species
AGGAAUCUGCCUAUUAGUGGGGGACAACAUCUCGAAAGGGAUGCUAAUACCGCAUACGUCCUACGGGAGAAAGCAGGGGACCUUCGGGCCUUGCGCUAAUAGAUGAGCCUAAGUCGGAUUAGCUAGUUGGUGGGGUAAAGGCCUACCAAGGCGACGAUCUGUAGCGGGUCUGAGAGGAUGAUCCGCCACACUGGGACUGAGACACGGCCCAGACUCCUACGGGAGGCAGCAGUGGGGAAUAUUGGACAAUGGGGGGGAACCCUGAUCCAGCCAUGCCGCGUGUGUGAAGAAGGCCUUUUGGUUGUAAAGCACUUUAAGCGAGGAGGAGGCUACCGAGAUUAAUACUCUUGGAUAGUGGACGUUACUCGCAGAAUAAGCACCGGCUAACUCUGUGCCAGCAGCCGCGGUAAUACAGAGGGUGCAAGCGUUAAUCGGAUUUACUGGGCGUAAAGCGCGCGUAGGUGGCCAAUUAAGUCAAAUGUGAAAUCCCCGAGCUUAACUUGGGAAUUGCAUUCGAUACUGGUUGGCUAGAGUAUGGGAGAGGAUGGUAGAAUUCCAGGU